rnacentral:piRNA from 1 species
UAUCUACUCAUUGCCCACUACUGGAGAAU